ACCACAAAAACGGAUCAAACUUCAACGUUCAAUCCCUAAAUCCGCCUACCCAACUCACCAAAAUUUCUCUGCUUUCGGCUCUCCUAUGCCAAAGGGACCCGCCAUCUCC